CACCACGGCACAGAGUGCGUGCCGCGUCCAGUCUUCCCUGAAACACCUCCCGUGACUGUGAUUCCCCCAUAGCCUUGGACACUCUCUUCUGAUUUAUAAUCACGCUUUCCGUGAGGAAAUUCUUCCUAAUGUCCAACCUAAACCUCCCUGGUGCAGUUUAAGACUAUGUCUUCCUGUCCUGUCGCUGGUUGCUUGGGGAGUCCCUCCGCCGCUCGCUGAGGCAGUGUCCGAGAGUGACAGCCAGCCACGAAAGUGACUGAGCACAGGGCAAGAGUGAAAUGAACAAGGGAGGGGCCCUAUUUUGCACCUGAAAUGUUUUAAAAAUACCACAGAGAGAUACACAAAUACCAAGGAAAAUAAAUAAUUGCAAGAUCAACCAUAUGGUGCUAUUUAUACCAAUCUGCCAAGUUUGGGGAAGUUUUAAGGUCGAUGUCCUUCCUAUGCUGAGGACAGUAGAGUUGGAUGUGUAAUCCAGAAUGGAGAACAGCACAUCAGUUUGUCCUUUUUUUGAGUAAUAGUUGUCUCUCAGGAAACAGAGCACAGAAGAAGGUAAUU